rnacentral:rRNA from 1 species
UACGUAGGGUGCAAGCGUUUGUCCGGAAUCACUGGGCGUAAAGCGCACGUAGGCGGAUUUUUAAGUCAGGGGUGAAAUCCCGAGGCUCAACCUCGGAACUGCCUUUGAUACUGGAGAUCUUGAGUCCGGAAGAGGUAAGUGGAACUGCGAGUGUAGAGGUGAAAUUCGUAGAUAUUCGCAAGAACACCAGUGGCGAAGGCGGCUUACUGGACAAGUAUUGACGCUGAGGUGCGAAAGCGUGGGGAGCAAACAGG